CGUACGCUGGCGGCACGCCUAACACAUGCAAGUCGAACGAAGUAGCAAUACUUAGUGGCAGACGGGUGAGUAACAUGUAGGUAUCUGCCCUUUGGCCUGGAAUAACACGAGGAAACUUGUGCUAAUACCGGAUAAGUCUUUACGGAGAAAGCUUUAUGCACCAUUGGAUGAGCCUGCACUUGAUUAGUUUGUUGGUGGGGUAAUGGCCUACCAAGACUGUGAUCAAUAGCUGAUUUGAGAGGAUGAUCAGCCACAUUGGGACUGAGACACGGCCCAAACUCCUACGGGAGGCAGCAGUGGGGAAUCUUGCACAAUGGAGGAAACUCUGAUGCAGCGAUGCCGCGUGAGUGAAGAAGGCCUUUGGGUUGUAAAGCUCUUUCGUCGGGGAAGAAAAUGACUGUACCCGAAUAAGAAGGUCCGG
rnacentral:rRNA from 1 species